rnacentral:rRNA from 1 species
UACGAAGGGGGCUAGCGUUGUUCGGAAUCACUGGGCGUAAAGGGCGCGUAGGCGGCUUGGCAAGUCAGGUGUGAAAGGCCUGGGCUCAACCCAGGAACUGCACUUGAGACUGCCUCGCUUGAGUCCGGGAGAAGAUGGCGGAAUUCCCAGUGUAGAGGUGAAAUUCGUAGAUAUUAGGAAGAACACCAGUGGCGGAGGCGGCUCACUGGCCCGGUACUGACGCUGAGGCGCGAAAGCGUGGGGAGCAAACAGG